rfam:Ovis aries breed Texel chromosome 7, whole genome shotgun sequence.
UCCCUGGUGGCUCAGACGGUAAAGCGUCUGUCUACAAUGCAGGAGACCCAGGUUCGAGCCCUGGGUUGGGAA